UACGUAGGGGGCAAGCGUUGUCCGGAAUCACUGGGCGUAAAGGGCGUGUAGGCGGGACAGUAAGUCGGGCGUGAAAUCCCUGGGCUCAACCCAGGAACUGCACUCGAAACUACUAUUCUUGAGUGUCGGAGAGGAAAGCGGAAUUCCUGGUGUAGAGGUAGAAAUGCGUAGAGAUCGGAAAGAACACCAACGGCGAAAGCACUCUGCUGGGCCGACACUGACACUGAGAGACGAAAGCUAGGGGAGCGAAUGGG
rnacentral:rRNA from 1 species